rnacentral:lncRNA from 1 species
UUUGCUGUAUACACAAAAAAGGUUGUGGUUGUGAGCUGAUUGUAACAAUCUCUGCCCCCAGCUGUUCCUGUUGCCUCAAUGUUAAAGCCUCAGGUGCUGCCCAUGCAGAUAGCCAUCUCAGCAGGUUCUGGCAGCACAUCUGCACAGCCCCCUUACAUCACCUCAGAGACAGUGGCUGUACAGAAGGGUCCCAGAAAUGCCUGUCUGGCCACCUGUCCUGUUCAGUUGAUACUGAAUGGACAGGCUGUUACUGUGCUUCCUGCAAUCCCAGGUCAUCAGGUAAUUGCUCCCAAGAUUCUGUCAGUGCCACAGGCCUCAGAGACUGUGAACCGAGGCAUCUUGACAGCGGUUCAGAUUCCAAUGAACUUAACCCUUGCAAAUUCAUCCGUUACUGCUGUGCCCUCGGAUGUGGCUGUGCAAGUAGGAACUGCAUCCUCAGACAACAACUCGAUCCCAUCUCCAGCACUGGCACCUGCAGCCAACGUUCCAGCUGUCCUUCCAACCACACCCACAGUGGAUGUAGGAGGUCAGCAGCAGGCAGUGACACCUGUUCUGCAGCCAGACAGCACCUGCAUUGCCAUUAUGAAGUCCGUUGGCUCCCCAGUCCCUUCUCCCCCAGCUCUUCCCUCCACUCUGGUUCCCCCAAGCACCAGCAGCCAAAGCCUUGACCCCGAGAGCCCUGUAGACAGUAUGAUAUUAUUUCCUGUUUUAUUGUUGUGAAAACCUGUGAUUUGAGUGAGUAAUAUUGUAAUGUGUGAUUUUGCAGUGCCCGUCUUGAGAUCCUCUGGUCCGACACACUGUCCUCGCUGCUUGGC